GAAAUGCGAUAAGUAAUGUGAAUUGCAGAAUUCAGUGAAUCAUCGAAUCUUUGAACGCACCUUGCGCUCCUUGGUAUUCCUUGGAGCAUGCCUGUUUGAUUAUCAUGAAAUCUUCAAAGUAAAUCUUUUGUUAACUCAAUUGGUUUCUACUUUGGUAUUGGAGGUCUUUGCAGCUUCACACCUGCUCCUCUUUGUUCAUUAGCUGGAUCUCAGUGUUAUGCUUGGUUCCACUCGGCGUGAUAAGUUAUCUAUCGCUGAGGACACUGUAAAAGGUGGCCAAGGUAAAUGCAGAAGAACCGCUUCUAAUAGUCCAUUGACUUGGACAAUACUUUUAUGAUCUGAUCUCAAAUCAGGUAGGACUACCCGCUGAACUUAAGC
rnacentral:misc_RNA from 1 species